rnacentral:rRNA from 1 species
UACGGAGGGUGCAAGCGUUAAUCGGAAUUACUGGGCGUAAAGCGCACGUAGGCGGCUUUGUAAGUACGAGGUGAAAGCCCGGAGCUCAACUCCGGAACUGCCUUUUAGACUGCAUCGCUUGAAUCCAGGAGAGGUGAGUGGAAUUCCGAGUGUAGAGGUGAAAUUCGUAGAUAUUCGGAAGAACACCAGUGGCGAAGGCGGCUCACUGGACUGGUAUUGACGCUGAGGUGCGAAAGCGUGGGGAGCAAACAGG